ACAAGUAUGAAUCGCCGCCGCCACCACCAUACAAGUAUGAAUCGCCUCCUCCACCACCAUAUAAGUACGAAUCGCCACCGCCACCACCAUACAAGUACGAGUCGCCUCCUCCACCUCCGUACAAGUAUGAAUCGCCUCCUCCCCCACCAUACUACUACAAAUCACCACCACCACCUCCUUACAAGUAUGAAUCUCCCCCUCCACCUCCAUAUUACUACAAAUCUCCACCCCCGCCACCACCUUACUACUACAAAUCACCACCACCACCUUCUCCUGUCUACAAAUAUAAAUCUCCACCACCACCACCUUACAAGUACGAAUCUCCUCCUCCACCUCCAUACUAUUACAAGUCUCCACCACCACCGCCGUAUUACUACAAGUCUCCACCACCACCACCUCCAGUUUACAAAUACAAAUCUCCUCCUCCGCCACCAUAUUACUACAAAUCACCACCUCCUCCAUCACCAGUAUAUUACUACAAAUCUCCUCCUCCACCAGCGUAUUACUACAAAUCUCCCCCACCGCCUGUCUACUAUUACAAAUCCCCGCCACCUCCAGCUUACCACUACCAAUCGCCACCCCCACCAAGUUACAAGCUGGUAGUGGUCACGGGCAAGGUCUAUUGCAACAGAUGCUGGAACACCACAAGCAGAUACCUUCAGGCAUCACCACAUGGGUCUGCUAGGUACAUUCUCAAUUGCAUUGUAUUCGAUAUUGUUCUCCUCACUCAUUUCCUCUUGAUACUGUGUGCAAUAAUGCAGGUGGCAAAGUGAAGAUCACAUGUGGCGAAUCUUACUACUACGGCUACACCAACAAGCAUGGAAUCUUUAGAAUUGAGCUCCCGCACCAAUCCUGGGAAGAAGCAAGCAGCUGCAAGGCCAAGAUUAUCAAGAGCAGCUACAUCAAGUCGUCAUGCAAUGUCAUCACGGACUACAGGUCUGGUGCAACAGGGGCCAAGCUCAAGUUCAAAUCGAAAACAGAGAAGGAGCUCGUCUUGACAGCCGGUCCUUUCAUCUAUGCAACUCCAGAGCCAUCGUCAGUCUGCUUCUACACAUCACCUCCCUAUGAGUACAAGUCACCUCCGCCACCAACACCGGUCUACCAUUACGCCUCUCCGCCACCUCCGGUCUACUACUACAAAUCGCCACCUCCUCCUUCACCGGUUUACUACUACAAAUCCCCUCCUCCUCCUUCGCCGGUCUACUAUUACAAAUCCCCGCCUCCACCACCAUACUAUUACAAGUCCCCACCUCCACCUCCGCCUAAGUAUUACUACAAGUCGCCCCCACCACCGUCUCCAUACUAUUACAAAUCCCCGCCCCCUCCACCGUACUAUUACAAAUCCCCACCACCACCUCCCUACAAAUACGAAUCGCCGCCGCCUCCUCCUUACAAAUACGAGUCCCCACCUCCACCACCUUACUAUUACAAGUCCCCACCACCACCUCCAUACAAAUAUGAAUCCCCGCCACCUCCAGUCUACAAAUAUGAGUCUCCGCCACCCCCAGUUUACAAAUACAAGUCGCCACCACCACCAUACAAGUACGAGUCACCACCACCACCUCCAUACAAGUAUGAAUCCCCGCCACCUCCACCUUAUUACUACAAGUCCCCUCCACCACCACCAUACAAGUACGAGUCGCCACCACCUCCUCCGUACAAGUAUGAAUCUCCACCACCACCAGUUUACAAAUACAAGUCACCUCCGCCGCCACCUUAUUACUACAAAUCCCCACCGCCACCUCCAUACAAGUACGAGUCUCCACCUCCUCCUCCGUACAAGUAUGAAUCUCCACCACCACCACCUUAUUACUACAAAUCCCCCCCGCCACCUCCAUACAAGUACGAGUCACCGCCUCCUCCUCCGUACAAGUAUGAAUCUCCACCACCGCCAGUUUACAAAUACAAGUCACCCCCGCCACCACCUUAUUACUACAAAUCCCCGCCACCACCUCCAUACAAGUACGAGUCUCCACCUCCUCCUCCGUACAAGUAUGAAUCUCCACCACCACCUCCUUAUUACUACAAAUCCCCGCCGCCACCUCCCUACAAGUAUGAAUCCCCGCCACCACCUCCCUACAAAUACGAGUCACCUCCACCACCACCUUACUAUUACAAAUCUCCUCCACCGCCUCCAUACAAGUAUGAGUCGCCACCACCACCAGUCUACAAAUACGAGUCUCCGCCACCCCCAGUUUACAAAUACAAGUCGCCCCCUCCACCUUAUUACUACAAGUCUCCGCCACCCCCGCCAUACAAAUAUGAAUCCCCACCUCCACCUCCCUACAAGUAUGAAUCGCCUCCUCCUCCACCUUACUACUACAAGUCCCCUCCACCACCUCCCUACAAAUAUGAAUCCCCGCCACCACCUCCCUAUAAAUACGAGUCACCACCACCACCACCUUACUAUUACAAAUCUCCUCCACCGCCUCCAUACAAGUAUGAGUCGCCACCACCACCUCCCUACAAAUACGAGUCACCACCACCACCACCUUACAAGUAUGAAUCCCCACCUCCACCUCCGUACAAGUAUGAAUCACCUCCACCGCCUCCAUACAAGUAUGAAUCCCCUCCUCCACCUCCCUACAAAUACGAGUCACCACCCCCACCACCUUAUUACUACAAAUCGCCUCCGCCACCGGAGUAUCAAUCAC
rnacentral:lncRNA from 1 species